GACGAACGCUGGCGGCGUGCUUAACACAUGCAAGUCGAACGCUGAAGCUUGGUGCUUGCACUGGGUGGAUGAGUGGCGAACGGGUGAGUAAUACGUGAGUAACCUGCCCUUGACUCUGGGAUAAGCCUGGGAAACUGGGUCUAAUACUGGAUACGACAUGUCACCGCUUGGUGGCGUGUGGCAAGGGUUUUACUGGUUUUGGAUGGGCUCACGGCCUAUCAGCUUGUUGGUGGGGUAAUGGCUCACCAAGGCGACGACGGGUAGCCGGCCUGAGAGGGUGACCGGCCACACUGGGACUGAGACACGGCCCAGACUCCUACGGGAGGCAGCAGUGGGGAAUAUUGCACAGUGGGCUAGAGCCUGAUGCAGCGACGCCGCGUGAGGGAUGACGGCCUGCGGGUUGUAAACCGCAUUCAGCACGGAAGAAGCGAAAGUGACGGUACGUGCAGAAGAAGCGCCGGCUAACUACGUG
rnacentral:rRNA from 1 species